rnacentral:lncRNA from 1 species
GGGACUUGCACGUGGGCAUGUGUUUGGGGGUGUGUGUGGUAGCUUAACCCCUACCGAGUGGAGAAAGUCCGGCUCCAUUUCUCACCUUUUUCCCAAGAGGACACACAUACCCCGCUCAACUUGACGCCUAAAGCAGCCGCUUCCAGGCCUGGGGUUUCGGAUAGGCCAAGCCGGCUGCUGCCGACCCGCACGCCGCCCCGGGCCCCGGCUCCUCUCUAGGCGGUGGCCGCGCCGUCGCCUGCUCGGCUGCGGGAUGCUUGCUCCCAAGGUCCCAGGCGUCCAGGUUGAUCGCCAGCCCCUUACCCUGGUGAGGGAGGCCUUGCGCCCUGCAGAAGCCCCGGGCCCUGCGGCGGCGGCGGCGGCAUCCUCCUGGUCGCCUCCUCGCUUUCCUCCACCCGAGCUCCGCCGGCUGCUCCUUGGGAGGAAGGGGACUCGCUAGACCAGGCCGAGGCCCAGCCUCAGAAGUCAGCAUUUUCAAGACCUGGCAUCCGCAGCGUUUCUGACGCGGGGACUUCUCUCUUCGGCUCUGAGGUCUCCGCGCGCAGAACCCAUGGCAGCUUUUGGUCUUACGCGUGGCUGUGAGCUGGGCUCACGCUGCGUGGCGCAUCCACCCCUCGAUUGACGCGCGGAGAAGCAUUUUUCAUUUUUUCUUUCAGCUUGUAUCCUUAAAUCUUAAUCCCGGGCUUCUUAGCAAAAAUGCGUGUGCAUUCGUUUCUCCUUGUUUAUGGAGAGGUUUCCGGUGAAUGUUAGACAGCAACUAAAUAAUUAAAAGGUUUAGAGAGCGC